GACGAACGCUGGCGGCGUGCUUAACACAUGCAAGUCGAACGGAAAGGCCCUGCUUUUGUGGGGUGCUCGAGUGGCGAACGGGUGAGUAACACGUGAGUAACCUGCCCUUGACUUUGGGAUAACUUCAGGAAACUGGGGCUAAUACCGGAUAGGAGCUCCUGCUGCAUGGUGGGGGUUGGAAAGUUUCGGCGGGUGGGGAUGGACUCGCGGCUUAUCAGCUUGUUGGUGGGGUAGUGGCUUACCAAGGCUUUGACGGGUAGCCGGCCUGAGAGGGUGACCGGCCACAAUGGGACUGAGAUACGGACCAGACUCCUACGGGAGGCAGCAGUGGGGAAUAUUGCACAAUGGGCGGAAGCCUGAUGCAGCAACGCCGCGUGCGGGAUGACGGCCUUCGGGUUGUAAACCGCUUUCGCCUGUGACGAAGCGUGAGUGACGGUAAUGGGUAAAGAAGCACCGGCUAACUACGUG
rnacentral:rRNA from 1 species